GACGAACGCUGGCGGCGUGCUUAACACAUGCAAGUCGAACGGAAAGGCCCUGCUUUUGUGGGGUGCUCGAGUGGCGAACGGGUGAGUAACACGUGAGUAACCUGCCCUUGACUUUGGGAUAACUUCAGGAAACUGGGGCUAAUACCGGAUAGGAGCUCCUGCUGCAUGGUGGGGGUUGGAAAGUUUCGGCGGUUGGGGUUGGACUCGCGGCUUAUCAGCUUGUUGGUGGGGUAGUGGCUUACCAAGGCUUUGACGGGUAGCCGGCCUGGGAGGGUGACCGGCCACAUUGGGACUGAGAUACGGCCCAGACUCCUACGGGAGGCAGCAGUGGGGAAUAUUGCACAAUGGGCGGAAGCCUGAUGCAGCAACGCCGCGUGCGGGAUGACGGCCUUCGGGUUGUAAACCGCUUUCGCCUGUGACGAAGCGUGAGUGACGGUAAUGGGUAAAGAAGCACCGGCUAACUACGUG
rnacentral:rRNA from 1 species